AUACCUUUCUCGGCCUUUUGGCUAAGAUCAAGUGUAGUAUCUGUUCUUAUCAGUUUAAUAUCUGAUAUGUGGGUCAAUGACCCACACGAUAUUAAAUUAAUAUUUUGAAGGGGAGAUUUCGAUAAAGUGGCUUGCUACUGGAAAUCUUAAGUGUUGUUCAAGUCUUGCACUACAGCUUGAGCUUGGCACACCCUAC
rfam:Vigna radiata var. radiata cultivar VC1973A chromosome 7, whole genome shotgun sequence